rnacentral:rRNA from 1 species
AAGUCCCGCAACGAGCGCAACCCUCGACCUUAGUUGCCAGCAUUCAGUUGGGCACUCUAAGGUGACUGCCGGCUAAAAGUCGGAGGAAGGUGGGGAUGACGUCAAACCAUCAUGCCCCUUAUGACCUGGGCUACACACGUGCUACAAUGGGCGGUACAAAGGGUCGCGAACCCGCGAGGGGGAGCCAAUCCCAAAAAGCCGCUCUCAGUUCGGAUUGCAGGCUGCAACUCGCCUGCAUGAAGCCGGAAUCGCUAGUAAUCGCGGAUCAGCAUGCCGCGGUCGAAUACGUUCCCGGGCCUU